rnacentral:lncRNA from 1 species
AUGCCCUUCCCCUGCCAGGAACACGCUUCCCCGAGGGCUGGGUCUUCCUGCACGUCCCAGUGUCAGAUUGCCUCCCUGAGUAUCCCCUGCCCCACUGGCUUAGCAUCGUGGCACCCGGUGCCCUGUGUUCGUGGCAUGGCAUUCGUAGUGAGAGGCGUUGGGUGUGAGCUUGGCGAGGGCAGGGCCGGGCUGUCCCACUCCUGCCCUCCCUCGGGCUGCCAUCUUCCAGGACCCUGCUGCCUGGCUUCCUCUCAGAUGGUAUGUGGUGGAUCGGGGCUCUCCCCCGGUGGCUGCAGUUCCCUUGUGGGCAAAGCCUGUCACCGCCCCCCCGCCCCCACCCCAGCCUUUCACAGGUGUUCCGGAAGACUCGGUUCAGCUAGAUGUGUUGCCUGUUUGCAAAAGGGGCUGAUGUCAUUUCCCUGCUUUUGAGUCCCUCAUGUCUGGCCAUCAAUGAAGCACUGCCUCCUUGUAGUUGCUGAGCCGUUACUGAACACCUAGUGGUGUUCCGGAACAUUCAGCUGAAGCAGACUCUCUCUCAGCCUCUGCUGCAGGGGGGUUGCAGGUCUUGGGUGCCCCCGUUCCCUGCAUCUCAGGCUCCGGGGCUGAGCGGGGGUGACUGAGGGUAUGAAAGGUAGUGAAAGAAGGGGACUGGGGUGAGCAGCGAGGACGCUGGUGGCAUCAUGAACAGAGAAACAGCAAAGGCCAACCAGAGGCUUUUCCCCUGGGAUGAGGGCGGGACGGUCAGGCUUAAGAACAGAUUAAAAAUAGACCCCGUGGAGGAGCCCAGCCAGCUCGCAAGCUGGCAGGGUCCCCAGCAGAGUCUCCGAUGUAGCCUCGUCUUGCUUUCUCUUCCAGGGCUCUGGUGUCCCGCCUGAGUUCCAGCCUUGCUGAGCCGGUGCCCCCAAGAGCUUCCUGCCGUGCCAGCCUCCCCGAGCAUUGACCAUGUCUAUUAUGGACCACAGCCCCACCACGGGCGUGGUCACGGUCAUCGUCAUCCUCAUCGCCAUCGCCGCCCUGGGGGCCCUGAUCCUGGGCUGCUGGUGUUACCUGCGGCUGCAGCGCAUCAGCCAGUCGGAGGACGAGGAGAGCAUCGUCGGGGAUGGCGAGACCAAGGAGCCCUUCCUGUUGGUGCAGUACUCGGCCAGGGGACCGUGUGUGGAGAGGAAGGCCAAGCUGACCCCCAACGGCCCAGAAGUCCACGGCUGAGCUGGGACGCGGGGGCUCCUGGGCCUGUUUGCAGCCAGCCAGGAGGCGCGAAACCACGGACAUGCUGCCGUUUGAGAGCAAGGCUUGACACUGCUGGCAUGGCCUCGCAGGCUUCUUCAUCGCAUGCACUGACUCUCGGGCUCCCAGCUGUCCCCAGCCGGGACUCGGUGGCCUUGGGCGUGCCCUCAGCCUCCUGCUGGGGCUGCCCAUUGCAGGCAGUGGGCAGGCCUGACCUUGCGGGGGCUCACGGCCCCAUAGUGCUUUCGUUACUUGAAUGUUUAGCUGAGCCUGUUUUUGAUGGAGCUACUACUGUAAGGUGUGAACUCACAAACCUGUGAACUGUAAAUAGGCCCCUGAAGCACGUCCUUAAGCCUUUUUUGCUGAUUUUUUAAAACAUUGUAUAGAGCACAUGGGACUGACCGACCGGACUCACGAUGGCUGUGGGGGAGGGUCUCAGACACUUGGCGGGGCCUCUAAUGUAUAUAACACGUGCGUGUGCAUGCAGAGGAAGUGAGUAUCAGUGUCAGGUCUCACGGCCGCCCAGAGGGGGUGCUCUGGGGAUUUCUGCUUGGUUAGCAAUGGAUGAAAGAAGAACCACGCCCCCUCGUUCUCUAGGUAGACUCGGUUGGUCGGUGGAUUCCAGUUCCUGUUGAUAGUGGAGUUAUUGCAAGGAAGCUGCUGCGGCUGCCUGGGAGCCGGUGAAGGACGAGUCAGGGCACGAGUCCUGAUGGCUGCCAGGCGUCCUAGUGGCAGAGCAGUUUCUUGCCCCUUUGGUCUUGAGCAUGCUGAGCACUCCCCCGGCCCGGUCCGCUACAAACCCCAAAGCCCGUGGAGGCGACCUUUCUCUGAAACCCAGUUGGCCCAGGAAAGAGAAAAUUGUGGUUUUUGGUUGUUGUUGUAUUUAACAUUUUCUGCACUGGAGGGCAGGGGGAGGGACUCUGAGGGUUUUCCGCCCCCCUUCCCUUUCUCACAAAUUAGCUUCCUUCCUUCUCAGAUUGUCACCCACCUGCUGGGUACUGGAUUUCGCUUUCCUCAGCGGGUCACCUGGAGGAGAGUCCCCUGACCCCGCUCUAGGAGCACCGAGCCUGUGCCCGUGCACGCGGGGGGCCCCAGGUGGCUCUGACAGCCGCGCUCGGUGGGCUCCAGGGAUGCAGGAGGAGAGUGGGUUUCAGGCCCGGGACUUGGUUUUCGCCCAGACGAGGAGUUGGUGGCUCUGGGCCGGGCCAGCGUCCCACAGCCUGCAUCUCCAGGGGGACCCUUUGUGUGUUUCAGUGCCCUCGCCUGGAUUAGCCCCACCACUGGAGGCACAUCCUGAGCUACCCUGACCCAACGGGACUUGUGUGGGCAUCCUUGGUGACAAACGGGGACCAGCCCCGGCUUGGCCUAGGAGCGCCGGCUCUCAGCAUGGCCAGGGAGCCCCAGGGUGGCUCGUGGCUACCCCGCCCCCCUCCCCCUCCAAGCUCCAGCCUCCGGGUCCGGCUGAAGCCCACUCCUCUGGCCUCAUCCGGGUCUCCUCUAAAAAGCAUGUUGAACUAAUGUCCUUUCUAGAACCCCGAGGAGGGGUCUUAGGGACCACUUAUUUAGCAGCAUCCACCUAAAGUGGGGGUCAAACAGGAAUUAACAGCUUGGGGAGGGGAGGGGCUGCUAGGGAGGAAUCUGAGCUGAGGGCAGGAGCGAGGGACCACAAUGGGCUAGAGGGGCCCUUAGGGGGCAGCUGGCAUCAAGACAGGAGAGGAAAGGUCUUUGGCCCCUAACUGGGCAUGGGCAAGCGCGAGACCAACAGAGGCCUGCGGGCUGGAGUGGGGGACGGGGUGUGGGUGGGGCAGGGCGGCAGGAGUCCCAGAGGUGCCAACUGGAAGAUGGGGAGCAGCUCUGCUCUCUAAUGAAGGCGGCUCAAGAGGCACGUGGGAGCUCUAGGGUCUUGGACCCAUUCCCCUCGCCUUCCAGAACUUCCGAGCCUUCUACCUCUACUUUCCGCAGGCAGCAGCACCCCCUAGGAUGUGUGCCCACCCAGUACCUGAGGAGCCCCUGGGACUUGCAUUUUCUGUCUCUGAGCCUGGCCCGGGAAAGGACCAUGGCUUGGCCGUCACGCUUGCCCUGAGGUCUUUACUGGGCCAGUGAGGUUUUGGUUUUGAAAUGAUGAAACGUCACUUUCUCCUCCGUUUCUCUUCUCCAGGUCCCUUCUCCCCCUUGCAGCAGGCCCGUGGGUGUGGUGGCAGUGCUGGGUCACAGGCGUGGAGGGGCACUCACGGGGUCUCCGGGAGUGGUCGUGAAAGUGCCUGUAGAACUGGUGAACGGCCACAUAAUCGGUUUCACUGUUCCUGUUUAUCAAUAGCUACUUUUUAUAGCAUCGACACCAGAGCCGCACACUCAAAUGGCUUAGUCAAGUUAUGGCCUCUCAUUGAAUUCUCUCUGAAUAGCCCGACUGUUGCGUUUAAGUUUUCUGACUAGUCAGGCAAAAUUAAUCUUUCAUCCUCCGUGUCAUCGCAGAAGCGCCAGGAGGGGGAACGGGGAGACAGUCUGACACUGAGCCACCAAAACAGGGACCGAUUUUUCAGACAGAUCUUCAAGUGGCCUGUGCUACUGUUUUGUCUCAAAGCUAUCAACUCCGUGCAAUAAGUGCAAGGGAUGUCAUCCCUGUUCAAUAAAAGCUGAGUGACAUUCA